rnacentral:sRNA from 1 species
GCGGCGGAGGUGCGGGGCCUGCUCCCGCCGGCACCAUGGCCAAGACCGUGGCCUAUUUCUACGACCCCGACGUGGGCAACUUCCACUACGGAGCUGGACACCCUAUGAAGCCCCAUCGCCUGGCAUUGACCCAUAGCCUGGUCCUGCAUUACGGUCUCUAUAAGAAGAUGAUCGUCUUCAAGCCAUACCAGGCCUCCCAGCAUGACAUGUGCCGCUUCCACUCCGAGGACUACAUUGACUUCCUGCAGAGAGUCAGCCCCACCAAUAUGCAAGGCUUCACCAAGAGUCUUAAUGCCUUCAACGUAGGCGAUGACUGCCCAGUGUUUCCCGGGCUCUUUGAGUUCUGCUCGCGUUACACAGGCGCAUCUCUGCAAGGAGCAACCCAGCUGAACAACAAGGUGACAUAGUCCCGAGUCCUGUUCUUCCUUUCCUCUGGAUCCCUGGACUCGGGAUUUAACCCUGAUCCUGGGCUCCCAGCUUGAGGGGUGGGCAGGAAGGACUGUGACUUAGGUGUUUGUCUUUCAGAUCUGUGAUAUUGCCAUUAACUGGGCUGGUGGUCUGCACCAUGCCAAGAAGUUUGAGGUACCACCCUCGGGUGCUCUACAUUGACAUUGACAUCCACCAUGGUGAUGGGGUUCAAGAAGCUUUCUACCUCACUGACCGGGUCAUGACGGUGUCCUUCCACAAAUAUGGAAAUUACUUCUUCCCUGGCACAGGUGACAUGUAUGAAGUCGGGGCAGAGAGUGGCCGCUACUACUGUCUGAACGUGCCCCUGCGGGAUGGCAUUGAUGACCAGA